GCCCCCCUCAAGAUGAGAUUUCCCAUAGCGUAAGCUAGUAAGAUCCCUGAAAGAUGAUCAGGUUGAUAGGUUCGAGGUGGAAGCAUGGUGACAUGUGGAGCUGACGAAUACUAAUAGAUCGAGGACUUAACCA
rnacentral:rRNA from 1 species